CCUUCGAUAGCUCAGCUGGUAGAGCGGAGGACUGUAGAUGAUUGCGCUAUGGUAAUCCUUAGGUCGCUGGUUCGAUUCCGGCUCGAAGGA
rfam:Ornithorhynchus anatinus chromosome 7, whole genome shotgun sequence.